CCUACGGGUGACAGCAGUGAGGAAUAUUGGUCAAUGGACUAGAGUCUGAACCAGCCAAGUAGCGUGAAGGAUGACUGCCCUAUGGGUUGUAAACUUCUUUUAUAAAGGAAUAAAACGAGGCACGUGUGCCUUUUUGCAUGUACUUUAUGAAUAAGGAUCGGCUAACUCCGUGCCAGCAGCCGCGGUAAUACGGAGGAUCCGAGAGUUAUCCGGAUUUAGUGGGUUUAAAGGGAGCGUAGAUGGGUUGUUAAGUCAGUUGUGAAAGUUUGCGGCUCAACCGUAAAAUUGCAAUUGAUACUGGCAGUCUUGAGUACAGUUGAGGUAGGCGGAAUUCGUGGUGUAGCGGUGAAAUGCUUAGAUAUCACGAAGAACCCCGAUUGCGAAGGCAGCUUACUAAACUGUGACUGACAUUGAUGCUCGAAAGUGUGGGUAUCAAACAGGAUUAGAUACCCGUGUAGUC
rnacentral:rRNA from 1 species